ACAAAUAGGAUUAUGGCCCAAACCCUUUUUAAUAACAAAAUCCUAAUUUGUAAACAGCCAAAGGAGAGCUGCGGCUGGCUUGAGGAAAACAGAACAAAAUCAACCAGAAAAAUCAAGGAGGAGCGGCGCACGAGAAGGAAAACAAGGAACAAAACUCGGAGGACCACCGAGAAGAAGAUCAAAGGGGGCCCGACCAAGCACGGAAGCAUAAAGGGUAUGAUCGGUGUUACGACUACUUAAGGUUGGUAAUAGGAUGUUAUCAAGGCAAAUAAGAUAAAGGAAAAUUUGUAGUAGAAUACAAAGAAGGCCAAUAAGAUAAAAUGAUGUACAAUGGAAAGAUUGAAACAAGUAAAGAAAAUGAAUAUGUGUGAGAUGUGUGUUCGCGUGUUGAAGAAAGACAAACGUGUGUUUUGUGUUGGCAAGAAAAGAAAGACAAACUUGCUUGUAUUGUGUUGGUGUGUUGGCAUACCAAAUAAAAUAAAAUAAAAUAAAAUAAAAUAAACUGUAAAAUAAAAUAAAGUGAAAUAGGACAAUAAAAUUAGAGUUUUGUUGUUGUAAUUCACAACCUUUUCUUCUUUUUUUGGUUUAUAUCAUUUUAUUUUUAGUAUAUACUCAAAUUUGAAUAAGAGUAAAAGAAUGAUGUGUUUAGAUUUUUGAUAAUAAUUGUAAAAUAUUUAUUAAACAUGUUAUUAUAAAUUAAUUUCAAAUGAAAGAGGAAAAUAAAAUGAUUGUCUUCGGAUUUGUUA